UAAAAUCGCCCUCCUCUCUCUCCAUUACUACGAGUUCUUCAACCCUAAAGAACUCGGUACUACCAUCAAGAAGAUACAUCCUAAAGGGGAACCGAAUCAAUCUGACGAACAUGACGUCUAGUUCAUUCUCUGAUGUGGUUACUGGCUCACCAGCUUUCGUGCUUGCCCUGUGCUUCCGCUGGUUUCCUUCGUGGAGUUUUUUCUAGCUUUUUCUUCAAAAUUGGUUCGCUUCAAACAUUGUUAAGUGGUAAUUUUAGGUUACAUUGGCAACUGCAAGGAAUAAUAAUGGAGCCUCAACAACUUAAACAGAGCUAGAGCCAGCUAGAACAGCACAAGGUGCUCCAAUGUGGUUGCAAAAGAGCUAGAGCCAGCUAGAACAGCACAAGGUGCAAAAAAAUGGAAUGAUCCUUGCACUAUAAAUGUAGUUUUUGUUUUCGUAUGUAAAUGUAGAAUUGGCUCUUUUGUUUA